AUUGAACGCUAGCGGGAUGCCUUACACAUGCAAGUCGAACGGAGUGGCGAACGGGUGAGUAAUGUAUCGGAACGUGCCCAGUAGCGGGGGAUAACUACGCGCAAGCGUAGCUAAAACCGCAUACUAUUGGAGCGGCCGAUAGCGGAUUAGCUAGUUGGUGGGGUAACGGCUCACCAAGGCUACGAUCCGUGGCUGGUUGGAGAGGACGACCAGCCAAACGGGGACUGAGACACGGCCCAGACUCCUACGGGAGGCAGCAGUGGGGAAUUUUGGAAAAUGGGGUAAACCCGGAUCCAGACAUCACGCGUGUGCGAUGAAGGCCUUCGGGUGGUAAAGUACUGUUGGCAGGAAAGCGGUACCUGCAGAAUAAGCACCGGCUAACUACGGGCAAGCAGCCGCGGUAAUAC
rnacentral:rRNA from 1 species